CAGUGCCGAUGUUUACUCUGUUUCGGCUCCUUUUCUUAUCGGGUUCACACCGCAAGCUGCAGCAGAGUGGAAGCAGUGCGUUAGCAGCAGGAAGGCAGAGCGGAAGCAGCGCGCGGCUAUUUUGCUUUCACGCCGGCAGCGGAGGCAGCGCGCAACUGAACAGCGGAUUUUGGACAGAGUACUGUCAAUUGGUUCCAAUUGAAUCAAUUUUGUUUUUUCUUGAAAAGAACAAUAAUUCUACAAUUUCACACAUUGGUUUUAUGUAGCCAACACAUGUUUUCUGCUGAACAUUCCAAUGUAUUAGAGGAAAGUGGCAGGCUUUUGAGGUUGCGGUGAACCUAGAAUUGUAAGUACUUUGACAUAUAUUAACAUAUAAUAAUAAUAAUAAUAAUAAUAAUAAUCCGAAUUAUAUUUAUUAUAUUAGCUCUUACCUCCAUAAAAAACUCUUUUAUAUGUUGAUACACAGAAUAUCUGACACAUCAAAUACAUACAUUACCCAUCAUAAAAAGCUUAUAGAUAAUUCAUAAACAGAGAACAUGGGGAAUGGAACACAUGAGGGGAAAACGCAACAUAAUGAGUCCAGGGGUGUGACACUCUGCUUUGUGUUGGAACCUUUAGUUUGAUUAACACCUUUAUCAACAACAGACACAAUGGAGAAAAUCAUUUUCUUCUUCUGUGUAUUUUCUUGUUGGAUUAUGCAAACCACAUCCAGUGGUAAAUUUAUUCUAUUUCAAACUAUUUAAAAUUAGCAAAUCAACCUCAAAUACAAUUGCUAUUAACAUAGUAUAAAAUGAUGUUAUAAAUGUCUCUCCAGAUCUGUUAAGGGUUCAGAUGGGAGAAAACACCAGUCUGAACUGCAGCAUGAGAAACCAAUAUGAAUCACCUCAGAUCUGGAGAACAACUUGAUCUACUGAUUUCUGCAAAGAAAGAUGAAUCAGGAAGAAAACUCCCGACUAACUACAAUCCAAACAGCCCUCUAAUGAAAAUGACUGCAGAUAGUUGGGUCACCAGAGCCACGCUGGUUAUUUCUGGAGUAACAGAGUCAGAUGUGGGUCUUUAUUUCUGUGCAACAAAGUCUGACGCUCAAGAGAUGUUCUUCGACAAACCCAUCAGACUAGAGAUCCAGGGUCUUAUUGUAGUACAAGAGACAGAUGAAGAAGCUGACAACACAGGUAACAUGUUGAUUGUAAUGUUAAUGCUUUAACUUCUGCGUUAUGUAUUGUACAGUAUUUUGCAGUUAACACUUUCUGGUGGUGCAAACAUGAAUGAAUCUUGUCUCUAUGUAGAUGAAGUGACUCUGACGGAGCGUGUGCUGAUGUUCAGUGGUGUUGGUCUGGCUGUGUUAGUGUUUUUUCUGGCUACAGUCAUUGCAGGAGGAAUCAUUCAUUAUCACAGUUGGCAGAAAGGAUAGGCCGCAGCCAAACGCUCAUCUCUCAUGAAUCACAAAUCAGCUCAAUAACUUCUAUUUCUGCUUUAUUUUACAGUCUAACUCUAUAUAUAUCUGUGAUCUGCAUUGUUUUGCUGUACCACAAAUUAAAACAGGAAUUGUGGGUGAAAUGCUUUUCCUAUUUUUGCUUCAGAGAUGUUCUGGCAAAUGUUGCAUUGUUUCAGCACCAGUGAAACUUACACAAUCAUUUAUUGUGGUUAUUAUUCAGGUUCAUUUAUGCUUGUCAGUAACAUUAAGUUAAAUAUAAAAAGACUGUUACUACUUAUUUUUUUUAAUGCAACAUGAUUCAAUAUUCAAUAUACACAAUAUUCAAGCCAGAAUAGCAUGUUUUAAGCAACCAAUGUUUUUACCUAAUGUAGAGAUUGAGCCUAUGAGAGAUCUGUCAAAACCAAUAUGAACAAAUAUAUGCUUUAAUGUCAUUAGAUCAGCAGGACUUGGGAUAAAAAUGUGUUAUUAAUAUGUACAUACAAGCUAUUUUCAGGAGAAAAUAUAAAUGCAAGUCUCUUCUGUGGCACAUAAAGCUUUAUUAAAUAAUCAAAUGUCUUAAUGUUAAAUGUAUUAUUUACAGUUCAAAUUGUAAAACUGAGAAACUAUAUGUUUGUGCAUUUUCUGAAAGAAAAUCUGUGCAUUAUCAAUGCUAAACCUCUUCAAACACAACAGCAGGAUUUUCAUCAGAUUUUUUUGGGUUCCUGCAGGAGUGGAUGGUAAUGAGGUGGUAGAUAAAAAACACUUAUACAAAAUAAUAGAUAGCACUAUGACUGUGAAUUAAUGUGUAAGCGUAUGAAGCAGUACGUAACACCUUGCAAAAGAGAGAGGAGGGAAGGUGAGGCAUCUGUUCGAGAUUCAGAAAAAUAUGUAAACAGGAGAUUUGACUUCAGUAUCAAGAAGAAGGAAAGAAUCAAUACCAGAAGACUCUAUAGGAGGCAAAGAGUUGAAUGGCAAUUUACAUGAAAUUAAUAAGCAUUCUGGAAACAAGUGCAAUGAACUAGAAAUAGCUGUACUGAUGUUAGCCAAUCAAAACACUGACAAGCAAAACACUUUAUUAAUAUUACAAGGGAAUUUAAAGGAACCUAUUUAAAAAAAGAAAGAAAAAUUCCAUGUCCUUCAUACUUUUCUGGACCUUGACAGUGUAAGUUACUUGGCACUCUAUGGGACAGUCACAAGUAGGAAUGCAGCUAUUAUAGAUUUUGUUGGUACGAUUAUUGUGUGAGAAAUAAUCACGGUUUUACGAUUAUGAUGAUUAUUAUGCAUUUAUAAUGUUUACAAUCACAUGGAUGCUCUAGAUAUUAAAGUGUCAUUUAUUGCUGCCUUUUGAAACAGAAAUAACACAGUGACAAAUAAUAAAGCACAAAAUAAUAAUAAUAAAGACA
ensembl:lncRNA